rnacentral:rRNA from 1 species
AACGAACGCUGGCGGCAUGCCUAACACAUGCAAGUCGAACGAGACCUUCGGGUCUAGUGGCGCACGGGUGCGUAACGCGUGGGAACCUGCCCUUAGGUUAGGAAUAACUCCCCGUAAGGGGUGCUAAUACCGGAUAAUGUCUUCGGACCAAAGAUUUAUCGCGUUUGGGUGGGCCCGCGUUGGAUUAGCUAGUUGGUAGGGUAAAAGCCUACCAAGGGGACGAUCCAUAGCUGGUCUGAGAGGAUGAUCAGUCACACUGGGACUGAGACACGGCCCAGACUGCUACGGGAGGCAGCAGUGGGGAAUAUUGGGCGAUGGGCGAAAGCGUGAUCCAGCAAUGCCGCGUGAGUGAUGAAGGGCGUAGGGUUGUAAAGCUCUUUUACCCGGGAUGAUAAUGACAGUACCGGGAAAAGAAGCACCGGCUAACUACGUG